CCUACGGGGCGCAGCAGUGAGGAAUAUUGGUCAAUGGGAGAGAUCCUGAACCAGCCAAGCCGCGUGAGGGAAGACGGCCCUAUGGGUUGAAAACCUCUUUUGUCGGAGAACAAAACCCGGGACGUGUCCCGGACUGCGUGUAUCCGAAGAAAAAGCAUCGGCUAACUACGUGCCAGCAGCCGCGGUAAUACGUAGGGGGCAAGCGUUAUCCGGAUUUACUGGGUGUAAAGGGAGCGUAGGUGGCAAGGCAAGUCAGAUGUGAAAACCCGGGGCCCAACCCCGGGAGUGCAUUUGAAACUGUCUGG
rnacentral:rRNA from 1 species